GGAAAUCUUAUGUUUUGGCUACAUUUUUCUCUCUCUUCACUUCCUCAUCACUCAAACCCGAGAACCAUAUGAAAUUUCUCACUUUCCCAAAACUUCUUCUCCUCAUUUUGCUCUAACCCCACAUAUGAAAUUUCUCUCCAAAUUUUAUCAAGAAACCUCAAAGCCAAAGCCUGACGGUUUGUUUUCUUCUUAUUCAUAGCUACCCAAAAAAACCUUUACCUUGUUUUCCUUUUAUCCUGGAACCCAAUAAACCCUAACAUUUGCCUUGUUUUCCUCUCAUCCCGAAAACCCAAAUCUCAUUACUCUAAUAUCUUCUUUGCCCCAAAACCCUUCAAAAUCGCAAGAUUCAUGUGAUCGAAAUGGAGAAAAUUAUCAACUCACAACUUCAUGAUGUAGAUUUGGGGACAUGGGGAGUUGUAAGUGCUCUGUCGUUCUCUCUUUAAGGCUCCAAUUGUUAUUCUCUCUCUUCAUCAACAUCAAAAAGUGAAUAUCUUCUUCUGUAGCUAUUCUGAUCAUGCUUCUAUCGUUCAUUUUGUGAUUUUGUUUUGUUGUUUUUUUUUUUGGUUUGUUUUUGGUAUGUUGAUGAAAUUAGAUGUAGUCAAUAAGGACGGAUGGAGUGUGUUAAGGAUAUGUCGCUAGUUGUUCAACGGAUGAGAGAGAAAGGGAAAAUUUGGGAAAAUUAAGGCUUAAUAAAUUAAUAGAAGGUUUUUUUUUUGUGGAUUGUUAUUCUUUUUUGCACUCUUAUUGUUUAUUUUGGAUUAUGCUUAAUUGAAGUCAUGGAUUGUUAGAACUUCUUGUUACUACUAAUUUUUUUAGUUAGUUUUCUGAUGUAAUGAUUUAUGCACUAUUAUUUUAACUUGGUGAAUGGGUUUAUAUGGCCUUGGAUCUUCCAUUGUGCUCGUUCUCAUAUAUUUUUAAUAGGAAUCUAGGACCAUGCUAUUUGAUUUGCUUAUUUUCUUGAUUUUUAGGAUGAUUCACAAUAUGUAGUUACCGGAGGUGAUAAGAUCCCUAGAACUAUUUUUUGAAGGAUGCUAGAGUGGCUUUGCCAAAUUUCUAAUGUCACUAGAUAUUUAGGAUGCUACUCUUUUAAGGCUUCAAGCAUACUUAAUAAAUUCAUGCUUCAAUUUGCUAAGUGAGAAGAAAAACAUUUGUUAAGAAAAAGUUUUAAACUUUUUCAGCAUUUUUCAUCUAAUAAAUUGUUAAGAAAAUAAACGAAAAGGUUGUGGUUGAAUUAGCCAUUGUAUGCAGGGGCAAAUGUAAAUAUAUAUAUAUAUAUAUAUAUAUAUAUAUAUCCAUUAAUUCAGAUAUUGUUUUCUUGUAGGAAAAUAAGCACAAAUUUUCCAUUAAGUUUUCAAUUCAGAUUAUCCAUUAUUUAUUUAUUUGAAUCAAUAUCCAAUAUUGUCUUCUAUUUAUCCAUGAUAUUGUUUUCUUGUAGGAAAAUAAGCACAAAUUUUGUCUUUGAAUUUGUCUUUGCAAGUUUCUGAGUUCUUUGUUGCUUUACCUUUGUUUUCUUACUAACCAAGCAAAUACUUCUAAUUUAUUUUUAAAUUCUAAUACACAUUCUCUUUAAUUACAUACAUCCAUAUUUGGCAUUUUCUUUAUUUACCCAUUGAAUUAUCUAAUGCAAGUUUCAAAUUUGAUUUUCCUGUUCCUGGAUAUCUCAUUCUCCCCGCAUGCAUGGCAUGGUAUGGAAUUCUUUUUCCAUUUUUCUUGCACUUUUUUUUUGUGUUCUUUAUUGCUUUAGUGAAAUCUCAUUUAGACUGAAUGAUAAUUUGAAUGAUUAAUUGUUUAAGGUGUUUGAAGUUCUAAUUUCAUGAUAUAGUGAUAUCUUUAUAUUUUUUAUUUCUUUAGAUUUUGUGAUAUCAUUUUUAUUUUUUUUAGAAUGUAACAACAUGGGAAGGGACAUUGCUUGAAUUAUCACAUUUUCAAAAUGGCUAGGAUUCAAAGAAAAUGAUAGAAAGUAUUUGAUUUUUUUCAUAUACUUUUAAGAUAAUUGUUCCUUUUUUUUUCAGUUUUAUGUUGAAUAUCUGUGAUAAACGAUGACUAUGAUUUACAGUAUACUAACUUGUAAUAAUAAUUUUAUGGGGAACUAUCACUAAUACUGCAAAUUCCAUUUCAAAACUGGAAGAGGCAUAAGUAAUCAAUCCCAUAUGGCAUAAAGCAUUAUGGUGCCUAGGAAAUGGCCUCACUAAUCAAGUAAUGAUGUUCUAGUGACCUGAUUGAGCUUUCUAUGACUCCCUUUUUGGACACUUUUUUUAUUUUAUAUUUUUUUAUAUUUUGUUGCUUAUUUGAUAGCCUUUGAUCUAAUUAAUUUAACAUUUCGUUUUAAUUACUAGUGAAUUCAUUAUUAACCAUAUGUUGUUAGGCGUCAGAGAUCCAUGAGGACAUCCAUACUAAUGCAACUAAUCAACAACUUGUGUUGCUUUUUCUAAAGCAAAGAUGAGAACUUUAGGGUAUUGCUUCAUUAUGCAUUCAACCUCGAUUAACAUUCCCAUCUUUGAGGACUUCAUUUCUAUUGCUUAUAUAUUUCAUUUCUUCGUGUUUCUGUUAUUUCUUUUUUGCAAAGUGGUACCAAGUUGUAGGUUGUUCCUUAUUUAUUAUGUUACUGCUUAUACGAGUGUGUACCCUUACACUUGUUCAUAAUAGGUGAAAUAAUUUGCAUAAGAAUUUUUAUAGCAAUUUUACCUAUUCAUUCUACACUUAAUAUCGAUCUUGAUGAUCCUACGCUAUCAUGGCCAAAAUAUUUACACGUUUUGAUUUUGAUAUUAGAAUUGUUAGAUGAACGUACAUGAUGUUAAGUAGAAGCAAAGCCCUAAAUUUACUUCUAGCUUCUUGGAACAUAGUAGGAAGUGAUAAGUUUUUAAGGCUAGUUCAUUGAGUUUCCAAGUUUAGGUUUUCUUGGGAAGAACUUAUUGUUAAUGUGUGAAUUCAUUCAAGGUAAUUAGUGUAAAAUUUUCUAGAUUUUGCAAGUGAAAACACCUUAGCUUUUCCUAUUACAUUUGUGUUUUUGCAG
rnacentral:lncRNA from 1 species